GGUGCCGUAGCUCAGUUGGUUAGAGCAUUGGUCUUACAAGCCGAAGGUCGCGGGUUCGAGCCCUGCCGGGACCA
rnacentral:tRNA from 1 species